AGAGUUUGAUCCUGGCUCAGGAUGAACGCUGGCGGCGUGCUUAAUACAUGCAAGUCGAACGGAGACGUUAUAGCAAUAUGAUGUCUUAGUGGCGAACGGGUGAGUAACGCGUUGGUGACCUGCCCCGAAGAGGGGGAUAACAGCUCGAAAGGGCUGCUAAUACCCCAUGUGGUCGCGAAGGUUAGAGGCUUUGCGAUUAAAGGAGUAAUCCACUUCGGGAGGGGCCUGCGUCCCAUCAGCUAGUUGGUAGGGUAAAAGCCUACCAAGGCGACGACGGGUAGGGGACCUGAGAGGGUGACCCCCCACACUGGCACUGAAACACGGGCCAGACACCUACGGGUGGCAGCAGUAGGGAAUAUUGCACAAUGGGCGAAAGCCUGAUGCAGCAACGCCGCGUGCGCGAUGAAGGCCUUCGGGUCGUAAAGCGCUUUUUGGGGAGAUGAGGAAGGAUAGUAUCCCCAGAAUAAGGUUCGGCUAACUACGUGCCAGUAGUCGCGGUAAAACGUAGGAACCGAGCGUUAUCCGAAUUUACUGGGCGUAAAGCGCGUGUAGGCGGUUCGGUAAGUUGGAUGUGAAAUCUCCUGGUUUAACUGGGAGAGGUCGUUCAAUACUGUCGAACUAGAGGGUGGUAGAGGGAGGUGGAAUUCCCGGUGUAGUGGUGAAAUGCGUAGAUAUCGGGAGGAACACCAGUGGCGAAAGCGGCCUCCUGGACCAUUCCUGACGCUCAGACGCGAAAGCUAGGGGAGCAAACGGGAUUAGAAACCCCGGUAGUCCUAGCUGUAAACGAUGUUGACUUGGCGUUGGUGGGGUAAAAGCCAUCAGUGCCGUAGCUAACGCGAUAAGUCAACCGCCUGGGGACUACGGCCGCAAGGUUAAAACUCAAAGGAAUUGACGG
rnacentral:rRNA from 1 species